CACUCCCUGCUGUGGAAAAACGGCCAAGGAGGCUUGUUGACUGCUGCGCAUCCCCCGCCAAAUACCUCCUAAAUACCCCUGGCAGCGAGGCAGAGCACAGCCUCCCCAGAAUAACAGCGGCCGGGCCGAGGGCGGACCCGGCCUUCUGCCGUGGAAAUAGAGCGGGGUUCACCACCCUGAUGCCCACGCUGGAUUUAAACCAACGCCAAGGAGGAGGAAAACCUCCACAUCGCGUGUUCCUCGGACACGAAGAUGGUGCUUGGCCCGCGGUUUGUCCCGGUAAUUAGUGACCUGUUCUGUUCGGGAGAUGCUCUCUGUUCACGAGGAUGAAGACAGGUGUGAAGACCUGAGCAACGAGAACCACACGAGGCACUGCUAGGCAUCUCCAGCGGCUCCAUGAAGCCGUGGUGGAGAGGUCUACAGAGGAACCAGAAGCAGCUCCACACUCACACGAAC